CAGCAGACACAUUCCAGCCAAUCAGCAGCAGACCCUCCCUCCCAGACCCUACCACCUCCUGGACAGCAUCCAUUUUGAAGCUGCAUUCUUAGUGAGCUGUCCAGGAGGUGGGAGGGUCUGGGAGGGAGGGUCUGCUGCUGAUUGGCUGGAAUGUGUCUGCUG
rnacentral:miRNA from 1 species